rnacentral:rRNA from 1 species
GUGCGAGACCGAUAGCGAACAAGUACCGUGAGGGAAAGAUGAAAAGAACUUUGAAAAGAGAGUUAAAGAGUACCUGAAACUGUUGAAAGGGAAUCGUAUCGUUUCUAGUGUGUAUCCUUUGCAUAUUUCAUAGGCGGCUGCAAAGUUGCUUGUGCCCUGUGCAUUGGUGUGACGUCAGAGUCAGUUGAGACUGCGGGAGAUGGAUAGUGAGGAGGUAUGUCACCUGUGACAGUUAUACCUUGCUAUUUAGUAGCCGUGGUUGAGACUGAGGUGCCUAC